rnacentral:piRNA from 1 species
UAGAUGUUACCUCCUAGUGGUUUG